UACGUAGGGUGCAAGCGUUGUCCGGAAUUAUUGGGCGUAAAGAGCUUGUAGGCGGUUUGUCGCGUCUGCUGUGAAAAUCCGGGGCUCAACCCCGGACUUGCAGUGGGUACGGGCAGACUGGAGUGUGGUAGGGGAGACUGGAAUUCCUGGUGUAGCGGUGAAAUGCGCAGAUAUCAGGAGGAACACCGAUGGCGAAGGCAGGUCUCUGGGCCACUACUGACGCUGAGAAGCGAAAGCAUGGGGGAGCGAACAGG
rnacentral:rRNA from 1 species